rnacentral:rRNA from 1 species
CAGCAGCAGCCACGGGAAUACGAAGGGUGCAAGCGUUACUCGGAAUUACUGGGCGUAAAGCGUGUGUAGGUGGUGGUUUAAGUCCGUUGUGAAAGCCCUGGGCUCAACCUGGGAAUUGCAGUGGAUACUGGGUCACUAGAGUGUGGUAGAGGAUAGUGAAAUUUCCGGUGUAGCAGUGAAAUGCGUAGAGAUCGGAAGGAACAUCUGUGGCGAAGGCGACUAUCUGGGCCAACACUGACACUGAGGCACGUAAGCGUGGGGAGCAAACAGGAUUAGAUACCCCCGUAGUCCCUGUCUCUUAUAC